GAUGAACGCUGGCGGCGUGCCUAAUACAUGCAAGUCGAGCGAACGGACGCGAAGCUUGCUUCUCUGAUGUUAGCGGCGGACGGGUGAGUAACACGUGGAUACCCUACCUAUAAGACUGGGAUCAUUUCGGGAAACCGUAGCUAAUACCGGAUAAUAUUUUGAACCGCAUGGUUCAAUAGUGAAAGACGGCCUUGCUGUCUCGUAUCGCUGGUUCCGCGCUGCAUUAGCUAGUUGGUAAGGUAACGGCUUACCAAGGCAACGAUGCAUAGCCGACCUGAGAGAGUGAUCGGCCACACUGGAACUGAGACACGGUCCAGACUCCUACGGGAGGCAGCAGUAGGGAAUCUGCCGCAAUGGGCGAAAGCCUGACGGAGCAACGCCGCGUGAGUGAUGAAGGUCUUCGGAUCGUAAAACUCUGUUAUUAGGGAAGAACAUAUGUGUAAGUAACUGUGCACAUCUUGACGGUACCGAAUCAGAAAGCCACGGCUAACUACGUG
rnacentral:rRNA from 1 species